rnacentral:lncRNA from 1 species
AUGACCGCAGAAGGGAUCACCGGGGCGCCUGCGGCUCAAGCGCGGGCCCGCCUUCCUGUGCUGCGCCAGCUUCUCCAGCCCCACCCAGCAGCGGGACCUCUCCGGGAGCUGGAAGAGGGCACAGGGACCCAGGGGCGUGUGCGGCACCGCCAGGUGGGGGAGGGGAAGAUGGGCGUUGAGACGAGGAGAAACCCCUGGAUGGAGAGAGAGAGAGAGAGAGAGAGAGAGAGUCCACCGUGCGGCUCCUGGCUCCGCGGGCCGGCGACGUCCAGGCCAGCGGGAGCGCCCGGCGGGGUCGCGGGCUGCUGGAGCGCGGGGGGCCCUGACCGCAGGCCCCGCCUCCGACCUCGGGACCCGGUGGCAGCGCGCAAAGCCGCCGGGGCGCUCGGGUCGGCCCGGACGUCCGCGGCUCCGCCUGGUACCGCCCACAGGCUCGGGGCCUGGCGGCCGCAGGGUCCACACUCUCCCACCGGCCGGGAGAACUGGGUCCAGCGCAAGUGCUUCCGUCUUUCGGGGCGCCGGGCAUGUGGGUUGAGUCCGGACGAUGCCCUGGAUCAUCCCCAGACCAUCCCAGCAGGAUCCGCUCCCGGGGCCCACCUCCCCCGACGGGGCCCGCGCUGGGCAGGCGGCCGUGCAUCCUCGGCUGGCCUCCCGGGUCCAGCGUCCUUGAGCGGUAGGCAGGGCUUCCGGCCAGAGUGGACGCGGCCGUCCGCCCCGAGGCCCCUGGGCUGGGGGCGCCCCUCGCGCUGGGAGGGGGGGCGCGGGAGGUCGCCGCCGGCGAAGCUGACACCCAGGCACUGCUGCUUGGGAGAAAGGCCGGCUGGACGCGCGAUUUUCCUGUAUUUCCUGAGGUUCCUUUUUCUGGGUCGUGCUAAGGGGAGCUGGGGGCACCAGGAUCCUGUCUUAAGGUUUUCAACCCGCCUAAACCUGCCAGAAAACAGAAUCGGGGCCAUAGAAGUGGGUUCCAGGGGAAAGAUGUUCUCGACGCUUUCAAAGAACUUCUAUUUUCUGUCUCCACACCCUCGCCUUCAGAAAAUGGGCGGGAAAAGGCCAGAGGACACCUGUGGACCAAGUUUCCUGGGGCGCUAA